rnacentral:ncRNA from 1 species
CAGAGUAAGCGGACCGGCGUCAAGUGCCGGCGGGACGGGGAGUUGCCCGUCGGACGAAAAGGGAGAGCCUCCCUUGCGGUCGGUCUGCUGCAUCCCGCUGU